rnacentral:rRNA from 1 species
GACGAACGCUGGCGGCGUGCUUAACACAUGCAAGUCGAACGGAAAGGCCCUGCUUUUGUGGGGUGCUCGAGUGGCGAACGGGUGAGUAACACGUGAGUAACCUGCCCUUGACUUUGGGAUAACUUCAUGAAACUGGGGCUAAUACCGGAUAGGAGCUCCUGCUGCAUGGUGGGGGUUGGAAGGUUUCGGCGGUUGGUGAUGGACUCGCGGCUUAUCAGCUUGUUGGUGGGGUAGUGGCUUACCAAGGCUUUGACGGGUAGCCGGCCUGAGAGGGUGACAGGCCACACUGGGCCUGAGAUACGGCCCAGCCUCCUACGGGAGGCAGCAGUGGGGAAGAUUGCACAAUGCGCGGAAGCCUGAUGCAGUCACGCCGCGUGCGGGAUGACGGCAUUCGGGUUGUAAACUGAUUUCGCCUGUGACGAAGCGUGAGUGACGGUACUGGGUAAAGAAGCACCGGCUAACUCCGUG